rnacentral:rRNA from 1 species
UCUCCUACGGGGGGCAGCAGUGGGGAAUUUUGGACAAUGGGCGCAAGCCUGAUCCAGCUAUUCCGCGUGUGGGAAGACGGCCUUCGGGUUGUAAACCACUUUUGUAGAGAACGAAAAGUCUGUUGAUAAUACCGAUAGAUGAUGACGGUACUCUAAGAAUAAGCACCGGCUAACCACGUGCCAGCAGCCGCGGUAAUACGUAGGGUGCGAGCGUUAAUCGGAAUUACUGGGCGUAAAGGGUGUGCAGGCGGUUUUGCAAGAUGGAUGUGAAAGCCCCGGGCUUAACCUGGGGAAACCAUACAAUG